rnacentral:rRNA from 1 species
CGCCCAGACUCCUACGGGAGGCAGCAGUGAGGAAUAUUGGUCAAUGGGCGGGAGCCUGAACCAGCCAAGUCGCGUGAGGGAAGAAGGUACUGAGUAUUGUAAACCUCUUUUGCCAGGGGACAAAGGCGGCCACGGGUGGCCGUAAGAGGGUACCUGGAGAAAAAGCAUCGGCUAACUCCGUGCCAGCAGCCGCGGUAAUACGGAGGAUGCGAGCGUUAUCCAGAUUUAUUGGGUUUAAAGGGUGCGCCGGCGCCUUUUCAAGUCGUCGGUAAAUUGUGGGGGCUCACCCCCGCUCCGCCGUUGAAACUGGCGUUCUUGAGUGGGCGAGAAGUAUGCGGAAUGCGUGGUGUAGCGGUGAAAUGCAUAGAUAUCACGCAGAACUCCGAUUGCGAAGGCAGCAUACCGGCGCCCAACUGACGCUGAAGCACGAAAGCGUGGGUAUCGAACAGGAUUAGAUACCCCAGUA